ACGCGCUGCCUUUGGGCCCCCGUCGCGCCUGUGUGUGGCGCCGGGGGUCAAGCUGCAGCGCCAGAGAACGCGCUCGCGCAUAACUGGGGCCGCCUGCCCUCCGCCGACGGCCCUUUUAACCGCGAGCAACACAG
ensembl:snoRNA